rnacentral:rRNA from 1 species
GACGAACGCUGGCGGCGUGCUUAACACAUGCAAGUCGAACGGAAAGGCCCUGCUUUUGUGGGGUGCUCGAGUGGCGAACGGGUGAGUAACACGUGAGUAACCUGCCCUUGACUUUGGGAUAACUUCAGGAAACUGGGGCUAAUACCGGAUAGGAGCUCCUGCUGCAUGGUGGGGGUUGGAAAGUUUCGGCGGUUGGGGAUGGACUCGCGGCUUAUCAGCUUGUUGGUGGGGUAGUGGCUUACCAAGGCUUUGACGGGUAGCCGGCCUGAGAGGGUGACCGGCCACCUUGGGACUGAGAUACGGCCCAGACGCCUACGGGGGGCAGCAGUGGGGAAUAUUGCACAAUGGGCGGGAGCCUGAUGCAGCAACGCCGCGGGCGGGAAGACGGCCUUCGGGUUGUAAACCGCUUUCGCCUGUGACGAAGCGUGAGUGACGGUAAUGGGUAAAGAAGCACCGGCUAACUACGUG